CCUACGGGUGGCUGCAGUGGGGAAUAUUGGACAAUGGGGGCAACCCUGAUCCAGCCAUGCCGCGUGUGUGAAGAAGGCCCUCGGGUUGUAAAGCACUUUCAGUGAGGAAGAACGCCUGGUGGUUAAUACCCAUCAGGAAAGACAUCACUCACAGAAGAAGCACCGGCUAACUCCGUGCCAGCAGCCGCGGUAAUACGGAGGGUGCGAGCGUUAAUCGGAAUUUCUGGGCGUAAAGCGCGCGUAGGUGGCUUGAUAAGCCGGUUGUGAAAGCCCCGGGCUCAACCUGGGAACGGCAUCCGGAACUGUCAAGCUAGAGUGCAGGAGAGGAAGGUAGAAUUCCCGGUGUAGCGGUGAAAUGCGUAGAGAUCGGGAGGAAUACCAGUGGCGAAGGCGGCCUUCUGGACUGACACUGACACUGAGGUGCGAAAGCGUGGGUAGCAAACAGGAUUAGAUACCCGAGUAGUC
rnacentral:rRNA from 1 species